rnacentral:rRNA from 1 species
AUACGUAGGGGGCGAGCGUUGUCCGGAAUGAUUGGGCGUAAAGGGCGCGUAGGCGGCCCGGUAAGUCUGGAGUGAAAGUCCUGCUUUUAAGGUGGGAAUUGCUUUGGAUACUGUCGGGCUUGAGUGCAGGAGAGGUAAGUGGAAUUCCCAGUGUAGCGGUGAAAUGCGUAGAGAUUGGGAGGAACACCAGUGGCGAAGGCGACUUACUGGACCGUAACUGACGCUGAGGCGCGAAAGUGUGGGGAGCAAACAGGAUUAGAUACCCUGGUAGUCCACACUGUAAACGAUGAAUGCUAGAUGUAGGGGGUAUCGACCCCUUCUGUGCCGCAGUUAACACAAUAAGCAUUCCGCCUGGGGAGUACGGCCGCAAGGUUGAAACUCAAAUGAAUUGACGGGG